AUUCAGCAAAGAUCCCCUGUACCGACGCGUCGCCAGUGGGAAGCAGCGACGCGCUGUUUGGCAGACAAUAGCCUCUAGCUCUACAAUAAGCCUUUGGCGGCCGGGGGAGGGCAACUGUGACCACGACAAGAAGUGUCCCUCCACUCAACCUUCUGCAAUCCCUUCUCUAGCCCCUAUGGAUGUUCUGCAAACCCUUCUAGAACUCUCAGUUCUUUAUGACCUCAGCAAGGAUUCCAAACCACUCCUAGCCUGCAGUGAGGUCACGCCAUCACUACAAACAGCCUCCAGCCUGCCUCCUGGAGCUAAUUACCCUCUCCCAGCACCAUGGUCAGCAUCAAAGUUACCAAGCAGAUGGUCCCUACACCUAGCAUGGGAUGGGGAGGUAUGAGCUGGAAGGACCCCUUUGUCACCGUCACUUUCCCCAGCAAAGUAAUCUUCACCACUGCCUCCCUCCUGCUGCUGCUGGUUCACAUGGGUAUCUUCGGAGGAGACCUCUACCACUUCACUGUGACCCAGAAGUUCGAUCUCAUGAGCUUUCAUGGCACCACAGUACUACUGGUAUCUCAUGUGAUGAGCUUUUACUGGGCCUUGCUUGGAACAUUUUACACUUUGGAGGCCAACGACAAGGUUCUCAGGGGGUUUGCCCUGACCUCGCUGGUGAUGAACUUCGCCCUCUUCGUGGGCCGCUUCUGCCUGGACUACCUGACUAUCGAAUACAGGGAGGAGUUUUACUGAGCCCCAGCCUGGCCUUGUCCAAAGCAGCCCUGGAGAGAGAUGCACACGCAGCAUUCAUCCCCAGAUCUGUCGGACUUGGGAAGCGGGGAGGGAAGGGGGCAGUAACACAUUGCUCCGGCUGUAGCCAAAAUCAAGUUUAAUAACAAUACAGGAUAUUGCUGUAGUGUUAGAGACGGUGUCAUUCAUUAGUCAUGUCACCUUCCUGGGAGGUGGGAGCAAGGCAGUCAUUACAGCCAGGAUCUUUCCCCCAACACACCCAAUGGGCAUUCAACAACUCAAGUGGCCAACCCUCAGUGGGAGCAUUUGAUGGCUACAGGGCUCAUCCGUUCCAUAGCAGUGGCCCAUCACAACCCCUACCCCAACACCCUAACCAUAGGGUCAUGCUAACGGACAUGGGCCCGAUCCAACCCUCUGGCUCAUGGUGGAACCAACACAAGGGAGGGGAAGAGGUUCAGAUUCCAGCCCCUUCAUCCCCCACCACAAAUAGCUCCCACCCAUUGGGGAAGCCUACAGGACUUAUGUUCAUAGCUCUCCUUUCCACUGGCAGUGGCUUGUGAGGAAGGUGAUAUUUUUCCUCUACUGCCUUCCACCCUAAGUCCCAUGCCACCUCCCCUACCCCAGGGCUAGCAAAGCAGAAAAGGGUGGGAGCUUGGGAGGUUGCAAAACAGCAGAUCUGGACUAAGGCCCAGUCAAAGAGCUGGACACAGGAAAGCAGUGGGAUUGGAGGCAAUGGUCAGUUUUUGGGCAGGGGGCGUGGUGUGUGCUCUCUUUGGUCACUGCGGCCCCCCAUGCAUUUCAAACCCUACAGGAAGAACUGUCUCCUAUCAACCAUUUCAAUAAAUAGAAGGAAAACAACUGUAUUCAAAGCAUGAAACCCCAUCCCCACCAGAACUCUGAAAAUCCACAAGCCAGGAAGUCUCUUCCCCUCCCACCCCCCAUCUUUAAGCUCCAGUGCUGACCAGCAUGUCCCAUCCCCUCCCUAAACUCCAGAACAGGUCAAUACUUCACACACACGCAUGCCCCUUUCCAGUAGGGGACAGCCCAAAGCACCCAUGGUGACAGCUCUGUACAGAGAUGGAGGGACCAACUUUGGAAUUACACCCCCCCCACACCCCCAUGGGAUGCAGGGGGACACCAACCCCACCCCAUUCUCGUUAGUAAAAUAAUCACACCCAAGAGGCCCAGCCAACUCCUUCCCUUUCCCCUGGUAUUCUGAGAUGGGAAGCGAAGGCUCCGCUCAACGGAGAUGACGUUGGAGGAGGGGGUUAACGACAUCUCAUCCCUGCAAAUAAUACUGGACAUAGAGGGGUGGAUCUCAGUAUUUGCCCAUCAAAUUCUGGCAAAGUUAAGGCCCAGGUAGUUACUGAUGUUAAAAAUUAGAAUAGGUGAAAGUAAGUUAUACCUCCCCCGCCCCCCCAAUAUAGCUCAGUAGGAGGGAGGGCAAAUGAGGAUGCGACAAGGGGCUGGUUACUGUCAUUUGGUUUGAGCUGCAU